GGGGAGCCGGAGGGAAACCGAGUCUUAAUUGGGCGUUAAGUUGCAGGGUAUAGACCCGAAACCCGGUGAUCUAGCCAUGGGCAGGUUGAAGGUUGGGUAACACUAACUGGAGGACCGAACCGACUAAUGUUGAAAAAUUAGCGGAUGACCUGUGGCUGGGGGUGAAAGGCCAAUCAAACCGGGAGAUAGCUGGUUCUCCCCGAAAGCUAUUUAGGUAGCGCCUCGUGAAUUCAUCUCCGGGGGUAGAGCACUGUUUCGGCUAGGGGGCCAUCCCGGCUUACCAACCCGAUGCAAACUGCGAAUACCGGAGAAUGUUAUCACGGGAGACACACGGCGGGUGCUAACGUCCGUCGUGAAGAGGGAAACAACCCAGACCGCCAGCUAAGGUCCCAAAGUCAUGGUUAAGUGGGAAACGAUGUGGGAAGGCCCAGACAGCCAGGAUGUUGGCUUAGAAGCAGCCAUCAUUUAAAGAAAGCGUAAUAGCUCACUGGUCGAGUCGGCCUGCGCGGAAGAUGUAACGGGGCUAAACCAUGCACCGAAGCUGCGGCAGCGAACGUAUCACCCAAGACAACUUUACGGAGUUGACGAUUGACGGAGCGAAGCGACGUCAAAGCGUUCAUUAAAGUCGAGUUGGCUUAGGGAUACGUUCGUUGGGUAGGGGAGCGUUCUGUAAGCCUGUGAAGGUGUGUCGUGAGGCAUGCUGGAGGUAUCAGAAGUGCGAAUGCUGACAUAAGUAACGAUAAAGCGGGUGAAAAGCCCGCUCGCCGGAAGACCAAGGGUUCCUGUCCAACGUUAAUCGGGGCAGGGUGAGUCGACCCCUAAGGCGAGGCCGAAAGGCGUAGUCGAUGGGAAACGGGUUAAUAUUCCCGUACUUGGUGUUACUGCGAAGGGGGGACGGAGAAGGCUAUGUUGGCCGGGCGACGGUUGUCCCGGUUUAAGCGUGUAGGUGUGUGUUCCAGGUAAAUCCGGUU
rnacentral:rRNA from 1 species